AACCAGCACCUCAAGUGGUCAGGAUGAUUAUUGGGCCUAAAGCAUCCGUAGCCGGCUCUGUAAGUUUUCGGUUAAAUCUGUACGCUCAACGUACAGGCUGCCGGGAAUACUGCAGAGCUAGGGAGUGGGAGAGGUAGACGGUACUCGGUAGGAAGGGGUAAAAUCCUUUGAUCUAUUGAUGACCACCUGUGGCGAAGGCGGUCUACCAGAACACGUCCGACGGUGAGGGAUGAAAGCUGGGGGAGCAAACCGGAUUAGAUACCCGGGUAGUCCCAGCUGUAAACUAUGCAAACUCAGUGAUGCAUUGGCUUGUGGCCAAUGCAGUGCUGCAGGGAAGCCGUUAAGUUUGCCGCCUGGGAAGUACGUACGCAAGUAUGAAACUUAA
rnacentral:rRNA from 1 species